GUAUUUUAUAUAGCACUUCUACGUGACAUGGGCAAUGGUCCAAAAUUUCUGAUUCUCACCAAAGCACUCUGAGCUCUUAGUUGCAAGAAACAAACUAUAAACUCCAAACUUGGUGUAAGCAUACACCUCAAAGACGCAACAGUAGUUCAUCUUAGUACUUCGAGGGUAGAUGGAGAUGUCGGGGGUUAGUGGGGACCAAAGCUGAACAACUGGGGAGAUUGCCUGAAC